CCUACGGGAGGCAGCAGUGGGGAAUAUUGGGCAAUGGGCGCAAGCCUGACCCAGCAACGCCGCGUGAAGGAAGAAGGCUUUCGGGUUGUAAACUUCUUUUGUCAGGGAAGAGUAGAAGACGGUACCUGACGCAUAAGCCACGGCUAACUACGUGCCAGCAGCCGCGGUAAUACGUAGGUGGCAAGCGUUGUCCGGAUUUACUGGGUGUAAAGGGCGUGUAGCCGGGUUGACAAGUCAGAUGUGAAAUCCUGCGGCUUAACCGCAGAACUGCAUUUGAAACUGUUGAUCUUGAGUACUGGAGAGGCAGAUGGAAUGCCGAGUGUAACGGUGAAAUGCGUAGAUAUUAGGAGGAACACCAGUGGCGAAGGCGGUCUGCUGGACAGCAACUGACGGUGAGGCGCGAAAGCGUGGGGAGCAAACAGGAUUAGAUACCCCUGUAGUC
rnacentral:rRNA from 1 species